rnacentral:rRNA from 1 species
UGGGGAAUAUUGCACAAUGGGCGCAAGCCUGAUGCAGCCAUGCCGCGUGUAUGAAGAAGGCCUUCGGGUUGUAAAGUACUUUCAGUCGGGAGGAAGGUGUCAAGGUUAAUAACCUUGGCAAUUGACGUUACCGACAGAAGAAGCACCGGCUAACUCCGUGCCAGCAGCCGCGGUAAUACGGAGGGUGCAAGCGUUAAUCGGAAUUACUGGGCGGAAAGCGCACGCAGGCGGUUGAUUGAGUCAGAUGUGAAAUCCCCGGGCUUAACCCGGGAAUUGCAUCUGAUACUGGUCAGCUAGAGUCUUGUAGAGGGGGGUAGAAUUCCAUGUGUAGCGGUGAAAUGCGUAGAGAUGUGGAGGAAUACCGGUGGCGAAGGCGGCCCCCUGGACAAAGACUGACGCUCAGGUGCGAAAGCGUGGGGAGCAAACAGG